UACGUAGGGGGCUAGCGUUGUCCGGAAUCAUUGGGCGUAAAGCGCGUGUAGGCGGUCCGGUAAGUCCGCUGUGAAAGUCGGGGGCUCAACCCUCGGAUGCCGGUGGAUACUGUCGGGCUUGAGUACGGAAGAGGCGAGUGGAAUUCCUGGUGUAGCGGUGAAAUGCGCAGAUAUCGGGAGGAACACCGGUGGCGAAGGCGGCCACCUGGACGGUAACUGACGCUGAGACGCGAAAGCGUGGGGAGCAAACAGG
rnacentral:rRNA from 1 species